AUUACCCCCUCUAGAUAUCCAUUACUCAGUCAGGCUCAGAAUCGGGGAUCAUACUCCCCCACAGCAACCCACGAAAAAGGCGUCACAUACCUCAUCAUGACAGCAAAGUAAUCCCCACAUAGCCAGCUCGAAGCAAACACACACACACUGGAGACAUGUAGUGUAUAGGUUUGCCAGAUUUGAAUGCAAGGAGGGACUCAGGUGAUGGAGAGUGCGGGGGACUAUAUAUCCUAUGUGCCUGGAGAGAUGAGGACAUAACAGUGGCUUUCCAGGGAAAUUCUUACACAGAAUAAGAGGGGCAGCGAUGUUGAGCUGUGUUGUUCUUCUUAACCUGUCAUACAGCAUUAAAGUGUGUUACAAAGCACAAAGCUGCAAAAUGGCCUUUGUCCCAGCCAUUAUCCAUUCAUAGCCUAUUCUACACACCGCUCUGAGGCUUUUUGGACAAAGGCUGCUGGGGCUUAUGUUUUGGUAGGUUGACUUCUGUGACUAAAACAAAUGAUACACAUUUACAAAAUGCACUGAGAAAUUGGGUUUAUGAUAAAAAUGCUACAAAUUUAAAUUCAACAUAUGUUAUACAUAACUAUACUUGUUGCAGAAAAGAAAAUGAUUAGGAUGCACAAUCCACUUGCCUCAAAAUAUCGUAUUAGUUAAUCUUUUACCGCAUUUGUCAUGUCCCUGAGUUACAUAACAUAACUCUGGGAUAACAUGACACAUAUUAGUAGUGCAUGUUUGUGAGCACAAAUGUAUCCAUUGAUAUCAUAUUCACGACCACAUAUGAUCCAAUAGGCCUAAUCUAAUAUGGCGUAAAGAGAAAGUCCGCACAGUGUAGCAGGGCUCAGGAUCAAAGCAACCCUGUAUCUGCCCUGUACACACCACUCAAAGCAAGCUUAUCUUCUCAGUGCACGGGUAAAAGCACACGUCGUCCCAGGCAGGGGCUAAAAGGGGACAAAUGAGGGUUAAGCUGCUUUCAAUGUUAGUUCUUUUUGAAAAGAUGACUCCAUAAAUAUGUAUGGAGGCAUGAAUCCAGGCUUUAUUUACAGGUUAGAUGACUGGAUGUGUGCGGACAGACAAGGAGGAAGUCUUGGUGAGGAGUGGAGAAAACUGGAGGGACAUCUAUCCUGCCUGCAGCAAAUGUAACUGGAGAGCUGACUGUUUGUAUUGGAAACUGGAGCUGUCUCUGCAGUCAGGUGGGAAAACAAGUGCCAGUCUGCAAGCCAGAAGACAAUCAGACCAGAAGGGUCAUUUUCUGCAAGAGCUCACCUCCCUCCUCCAAGCCUCGCCGCUGACAGGCUCACGCUCGGCAGGAACCCUAAAUUAACACUUGACGUCUGCGAGGCUCAGCCCUGAUGAGGCUGCAGAGAGACAAAAUGUCAGAAAACAAACACUCCAUCAUUUUUGCUUCAUUUCCUCGACUGCUGGAGAAACACACUCACCUGGAGGGUUUGAGAGGGCUGCGGUGACAUUCACUUCCCUAUCUGUUGCUGUGGAUCAGGCCUGGUGCCUAUGGGCCAAGAUCAGAGACGAGUUGCACAAAAGCUCACUUUCACUCCUGUGUAGAAGUCCAAGAUGUCCUCAAAGUAUUUGCCCAAACUCUUUACUUAAUCAGUGUCUGAGAGGUUAUUCAACACCAGAGUCGGAUGCUCCUCCUUCCAGGUUCUGUGUGUGUGUGUGCGUGUGUGUGUGCAUAAGAUCGAUGUGAAAGAAAAAAGUGAGAGUUAAAAACAUGAGCAAUUCUACAGCAGAAACUGAUGUAAAAAACACAAACUGAUCAUGAUUUUAGAUAAUAAUAAAGAUAUUCAUUUUAGCUAUAGUUUAUCUUUAAUUGUAGAUGCUACAAUUUUGUUUUAUAUGCAGUUGUUACAGAUGUAUUUACAAUUACAUGAAAGUAUGACAUUUAAUAUGUGUGUGGGAAUACGUACUCUUGCAUUAUCUCUCUAUCUCCCUCCCUCACCUCACAGCUGUCGCCCGUACUCCCCCACCCCACUCACCCUCUCUUGCAUCAGGCUAUGGGUGCAGCGGGUGCAGUGGGGGCCUUGGCCCUGACGAGGCUGAGAAGGGAUCCACUGCUGUGCUAAGCCUUUGCCUCCCUGCUCCCUCCCCACCUCCUCACAUCAUGAAUAAUGGAAGAGAGAAAUACAUUUAUCUUUUAAUAGCCCCGGCCCCCUGGCUGAAACCGUUCAGUCUGGCACAAACCGCCACAGCACAGGGCUGAGGUUUCUGAACCCCCCCCCCAAUGCCACCCCACCCCACCCAUGAAUGUCUCCGCUCCUUUUGAAGUUGGGUGCUUCUUAGUGUCCUAGAGAUGGGUAAUCAGGCUUGAUUUUGGAAGGGUCAGGCCAUCUUUUGAAGGGGCGGUCAUCCCCAAGUUUGACCAAGGAGACCUACGCUCAUGGUCUGUGUAAGAAUUACUGUAAUUUCAUCAGACAUAUUCACUACCCAGUUUUGAAUUUAAUAGACUCAAAAAACAUAGAUGAAGAGAGCAUCUUGGUCGUGCUAUGAAUGUUGUAGCAGGAUUGUGUAAGAAGAUUGUAUAAUGCAAAUUACCAGCUGUGAGAUAAUUGUGAGGUAAAAAUAUUGUGUUUGCUUGUAUUCCGCUUUGAUGCUAGAAGAAGGGUUCUUAUUGAUUCAACUGUAAAGCCUCAAGAGAAAAAAAUGAAAUAAAAUAAUCCAAGACUGGAUUAUUUAGACAAUGUGGGCUGUGUAGUUCAUCCAGUAUUUCAUAAUGCGUUAUAAUAUUUCUCUUUUGAAACUCCUGCCUCUGAGAUGAAAAUCUUCAUUUUUGAAGAAAUAAUAAAUACACAUACCUUGUGUAUAUUUUCUAUGAAUGUUUUUUUUAUUAUAAUGGUGAGUUUUUAUAAUGCGAACACAC